AGUAGAGUCAGCUAAUUAAGCUCUUGGGCCCAUACCCCAAAAAUGUGGGUUAAACCCCCCCCUUUACUA
rnacentral:tRNA from 1 species